rnacentral:lncRNA from 1 species
AUGAUGAGGGACCAUGUCUUUCAGGGACCACAGCAGCUCAGUGAAGCUGGAAUGCAGGGAGCAGGACAGAGGCUGGGCAGAAAUAGAGAGAAGGGAAAGGAGGGAGGGACGGAAGGAGGAAAGGAGGGAAGGAGGGAGGGAGGGAGGGAGGGAAGCAAAGGAAGGAGGGAAGGGAAGGAUGGAAGAGGAGGGAGGGAGGGCAGAAGGGAAGGAAAGGAGGGGGGAGGGAAGGAAGGAAGGAGAGAGGGAAGGAGGGAAGGGAAGGAUGGAAGAGGAGGGAGGGAGAGCAGAAGGGAAGGAAAGGAGGGAGGGAGGGAGGGAAGGGAAGGGGGAGGGAAGGAGGGAAGGAAAGGAGAGGGAGGGAGGAGAGGAAGGGGAGGGAAGGAGGGAGGGAAGGAGGGAAGGGAAGGGGGAGGGAGGGAAGGGGGGGCGGAGGCUAAGUCGGGCCCCGCCCAGGAGGCGGGAGCGAGUCGGGGCAGAGGGAGGCAGCGAGUUGAGGCUGGCGCACAGCCGCGCCCCCUCGUGCAACCGCGGCCCGCCCGCGGGUGGCCUCUGCUCGCCCCGAUGGCCGUGCCUGGGCGCCCGGUUACCAACGCGGCCGUGACGCGGCGGCCGGCGCGCGGGGAGGGCGGAGCGGCCGAGCGCUCUCACGCGCAGCGCGGGCGCCGCAGCCCGCACGUCCGCCCGCUCGGGGCCGUUUCCUCAGGCGGCGGCUCCGGCAGCAGCAUCGCGCCAGAGCCUCGGACGGAGCCGCGCGGAGCCCCGAGUCCGGACGGCGGGGGGCGAGCGGUGGGGGACGCGGAGGGAGGCGAUACGGAGGGGCGGGGGGGGCAGCCACCUUCUCUCGCGGCGACCUGGCGGGAUGGGGGGGGCGGGGUCGCGGGCCCGGGCGCUUCCGGACGCCUCCUGAUGGCGUCACAGGCCACACGCAGCAGGCACCAGGGACCUCCUGCGGGAGGGGCACGCGCAGGGGACGGGCGUGUGAGACAGGGCCAGAGCCGCCCCAGCGCAGCAGCCCGGGGCCUCCAGUCUGCGCGUGCGCAGUGUCGUCCUGUCGCCCUCCCUCAGGCUGGUGCUAGUCUCCCAGAGCAGCCGUGGGCUUCUGGCCGCUCAGGUCGGGGCCUUCUCGGACUCCCCAGUUCCGAGGCACACGGUCUUUACAGCGUUUCCGCCGGCAAAGGACCCACUCCUCAGCGCGCCUGA